UACGGAGGAAGCUAGCGUUGUUCGGAAUUACUGGGCGUAAAGCGUACGUAGGCGGUUAUUCAAGUCAGAGGUGAAAGCCCGGGGCUCAACCCCGGAACGGCCUUUGAAACUAGAUAGCUAGAGUCUUGGAGAGGUUAGUGGAAUUCCGAGUGUAGAGGUGAAAUUCGUAGAUAUUCGGAAGAACACCAGUGGCGAAGGCGACUAACUGGACAAGUACUGACGCUGAGGUACGAAAGCGUGGGGAGCAAACAGG
rnacentral:rRNA from 1 species